rnacentral:rRNA from 1 species
CCUACGGGAGGCAGCAGUGAGGAAUAUUGGUCAAUGGCCGUAAGGCUGAACCAGCCAAGUCGCGUGAAGGAAGAAGGAUCUAUGGUUUGUAAACUUCUUUUAUAGGGGAAUAAAGGUAUCCACGUGUGGAUAUUUGCAUGUACCCUAUGAAUAAGCAUCGGCUAACUCCGUGCCAGCAGCCGCGGUAAUACGGAGGAUGCGAGCGUUAUCCGGAUUUAGUGGGGUUAAAGGGUGCGUAGGUUGUUUUUUAAGUCAGAGGUGAAAGUUUGUGGCUCAACCAUAAAAUUGCCAUUGAAACUGGAAGACUUGAGUGUGUUUGAGGUAGGCGGAAUGCGUGGUGUAGCGGUGAAAUGCAUAGAUAUCACGCAGAACUCCGAUUGCGAAGGCAGCUUACUAAGCCAUAACUGACACUGAAGCACGAAAGCGUGGGGAUCAAACAGGAUUAGAUACCCGUGUAGUC